UUGACCUCAUAAAGUUAAAGCGUAUGCGAUUGACGACUGUGCUUGCUCACGAGCGUGCCGUCAUUUACCCAAAUAUGAACGCGUUGACGACAUCUUCAAUGUUCCUCUUACCGGAGCAACCGCGGCGGCGUAACCACAAUUCUAUUCGACUACAAAAACGAGUCAAAUUCAAAUCGUAAAUUUGUAUGUUAUUCUCUACAGUUUUCCUCAUAACGUAGGAAGAAGUCGCAGGGGAAGAAGCGGAAUUUUGCGUUUAAUGCUCUCUGCAAGCCUCAAACUCGGCGACAGCCACGAUUAGGCGCGAUUGGUUCUUCUUUCACUUUCCGGGGUUCUGCAAAGAGGAUCUUUAAUAUCCAAGGCCUACGGAUCAAACAGGGACGUGUUCCUGCAGCUAGAGUCUUCCUGCGAACAUCUUUUUGCUGAAGUUGGUUCAACUUCUCUUCAGCAAACUGAGGCACGUGAAUGAACAAUUCUUCAUCUUAAUUAAAUGUGUCCUGAAGGAUCAAUAGGAGAGUGUUUGAAAACCAGCAGAUUCUGAUGGAAAUUCUGGCACUUGAAAAGUUGAAAAAGAAUGCCGAACAAGUGAGAACAACAGGAGAAGCUGAACAUAUUGGUGAAAUGCUUCCCAUAACUCACACGCAUGAGCACGUAAUUGUGCUGAAGAAGUCCCAGAGUUGUAGCUCGGUUCCAAUAUCAGACACUAUGAUAACACCAAGUUACAGUAGAAAGGCACAAAUUUCAAGUUUGUCUAACAAUGUGAAGCUGAUUGAUUCCAAGUUUGAGAACUUGAAUCAGUCCUGUCACCUUAGGCACAGGGACUCUGGCAAACUUAAAGAAUUUUCCUCUUUUGCACGUUCACGGGAGUAUCAGAAAACACCCCCAGAGUCAACCUUGUCUGUAGGUGUUACUCAGGAAAACUUUAAUUUAGGUGAUGGUAACCAUCUUCCUGCUCGUCCUUAUUCUCAACUGGUAAAUUCCCCACAUGUGGUGGCUCAAAGUGUGGAGAAGUUGGAUUUUGGAGGGUUUUCAAUCUCAAGCUCAGAAGAUUACCAUAACUUGAAUGAAGAUAAUAUGGAUAUAUCCAGUGACCACCUCGUCUCACUAUACAGAACAGAUCGUCCCAAUGUUACAGAUGAAAAAUCUCACGUUCAUGAUUUUGCUUUCUCUGCCUCUAAUGCUAAUCCUACUUUUGCACAAGUUGUAUCUAGAGAUUCAAAUGACACCACUUCACCGGUGUCAUCAGUUGGACCAGCAGGUCUCACCAUGGAUACUUCUGAGGAAGUAAAAUCAGAGCCACCAGCUUCUAUGACUCCAUCCAUCUCACAAGUCGAACCAGAAUUCCCACUCAGACUGUCAGUGGAAAGAACCCAAAGUGACAUAAUUGGGCAACAGCCACACAAACUUCCUGAAAUUGUUUGUUCUUCUGUGAUUGAGCCCAGAUCUGAUCUUGGAGGUACUGAAGCCGGAGUUCAGAAGUUGGUUGAGGACUUGAAUAGCAAUUCACUUGAAACUGUAAGAGCUGCAAUAGCUGAACUCCGGUCUAUUGCAAAGCUUAAUAAUGAAAACCGGAUUAUGAUUGCAGAACUUGGAGCAAUGAGCUUUUUGGUCAAAUUUCUGUAUUCUACAGAUGCAAUAAUCCAAGAGCAUGCUGUUACGACGCUACUCAACCUAUCAAUUUGUAGCGACCUCAAAAUUGCCAUUGCUCAGGCCAAUGCAAUUGAACCUCUGAUUCGUGUCCUUGAUACAGGAAGCCCUGAGGCAAAGGAGAACUCAGCUGCCACUCUUUUUAGCCUUUCUAUGGUCGAGGAAAACAAGGUAAAGAUUGGGAGGUCUGGGGCCAUUGGGCCUCUGGUUGAACUACUCGGGAAUGGAACUCCUAGGGGAAAGAAGGAUGCAACAACUGCAUUGUUUUAUUUGUCCAUGAUUCCAGAGAACAAGGUUAAGAUUGUGCAAGCUGGAGCUGUUAAGCAUCUUGUGGAUUUGAUGGAUCCAUCAGUUGGAAUGGUUGACAAGGCUGUUGCUGUUCUAGCAAAUCUUGCUACAAUUCAGGAGGGAAAAAUUGAAAUUGGUGGGGAUGGCGGGAUCCCUGUGUUGGUCGAGGCUAUUGAAUUGGGUUCCGCCAGAGGAAAAGAGAAUGCAGCAGCUGCAUUAUUACGGAUUUGCUUAACCUCUAAAAAAUUUUGCAUCGUGGCUCUCCAAGAGGGAGUUAUCCCACCCUUAGUUUCACUAGUACAAUCUGGCACUCGGAGGGCCAAGGAUAAGGCGCAGGAAUUGCUUAACGUCCUCAGCAAGCAUAUGCAUAGUACUGUUGGAAAAAACUAAUUUUGAGGCUUAGGAACUGCUAAACAUCUUCAGAAAGCAUGUGCAUAGUAAUUUUGAAAAACACUAAUCUUCAAGUAUGUGCGACCUUCCAUGACGUGAACCUUUGAUGUCACUGCUGUUCAGAGGGCAUGUAAAUUUUCAUACCACAAAUAAUGUUUAUAUCAGGUGGUGGCUGAUGGUUUCUGUGCCUAACAUAAAUUAAGAUGAGCAAGAGCUGAUGAUCGCCUCAGAAUCAGGAAACAGUGAACAGAUCCGCCAGUAUAAACUCAGUUAAACAUGAGAGCAUUAUGUUUGCUUCCUGUUUGGGAGGGACUGAAAGCUUUCACAAGUGAACACUUGGAUGUAGAUCCAUCAUUACUUGUAACUUCUUGAUUAGUAUUGUUUGAUUUCGAUCCAUUUAGCCGAAAGAUCUAA